rnacentral:rRNA from 1 species
UACGGAGGGUGCAAGCGUUAUCCGGAUUUACUGGGUUUAAAGGGAGCGUAGGCGGACAAAUAAGUCAGUGGUGAAAUCUUCGAGCUUAACUCGGAAACUGCCAUUGAUACUAUUUGUCUUGAAUAUUUUGGAGGUAAGCGGAAUAUGUCAUGUAGCGGUGAAAUGCUUAGAUAUGACAUAGAACACCAAUUGCGAAGGCAGCUUGCUACGAAAUUAUUGACGCUGAGGCUCGAAAGCGUGGGGAUCAAACAGG